rnacentral:rRNA from 1 species
GACGAACGCUGGCGGCGUGCUUAACACAUGCAAGUCGAACGGUAAGGCCCUUCGGGGUACACGAGUGGCGAACGGGUGAGUAACACGUGGGUGAUCUGCCCUGCACUUCGGGAUAAGCCUGGGAAACUGGGUCUAAUACCGGAUAGGACCACUGCCUGCAUGGGUGGUGGGGGAAAGCUUUUGCGGGGUGGGAUGGGCCCGCGGCCUAUCAGCUUGUUGGUGGGGUGAUGGCCUACCAAGGCGACGACGGGUAGCCGGCCUGCGAGGGUGACCGGCCACACUGGGACUGAGAUACGGACCUGCCUCCUGCGGGAGGCAGCAGUGGUGAAUAUUGCACAAUGGGCGCAAGCCUGAUGCAGCGACGCCGCGUGAGGGAUGACGGCCUUCGGGUUGUAAACCUCUUUCAGCACCGACGAAGCGCAAGUGACGGUAGGUGCAGAAGAAGGACCGGCCAACUACGUGCCAGCCGCCGCAGUAAAAC